rnacentral:rRNA from 1 species
CAGUCGCCGCGGGAAUACGAAGGGUGCAAGCGUUAAUCGGAAUUACUGGGCGUAAAGCGUGCGUAGGCGGUUUGUUAAGUCUGCUGUGAAAUCCCCGGGCUCAACCUGGGAAUGGCAGUGGAUACUGGCAAGCUAGAGUGUGUCAGAGGAUGGUGGAAUUCCCGGUGUAGCGGUGAAAUGCGUAGAGAUCGGGAGGAACAUCAGUGGCGAAGGUGGCCAUCUGGGACAACACUGACGCUGAGGCACGAAAGCGUGGGGAGCAAACAGGAUUAGAUACCCCUGUAGUCCCUGUCUCUUAUAC